CCUGGGCAGCAGGUUCCAUGAUAGGGCCUGUUUAUACUGCCAGGGGGUGUCCCUGUGCACUUCCCUGUCUUUGAGGUCUGCUUUGCUCACAAACCUAUAGGAACACUGGGGAGCCCCAGCUCCAAAGUAGAGGUAUUUCUGUUUAUGUGCGUAUAUGUGUCUCACCUAGGGAGCCCCAGCUCCAAAGUAGAGGUAUUUGUGUGUGUGUGUGUGUGUGUGUGUAGCAUUCUUAAGAGCUCAGGAAUCAGAAGGGAAGGGAGAUCACAUUCCCCAGUGUGAGCACUCCCAGGGAUUGCAGCCUUGUCGCUGCAGUCAGCCUGGCAUGUGCUCACAACCAGCUCACUGGUCCUGUUGGUUGACCUGAACCCAUGUGUCUGUGGUUCAGCUAUGCAGUGAGCAGGCCUGGAGCUCCUUGAUUCAGUGCCAGAAACGUCAUUACUCAUGGAAAUCUGCAAGUCAUCCUACAUCAGUAACAUUUGGGACUUCGGAAUCACACCCAGUUGUACUUGGCUCACCCUAGCCUUGGCUCAGGAAUCAAUUAUGCUAGUGCUCAGAGUACCAUAUGGAAUGCUGGGGACUCAAACCAGAGCCAGCUGCAUACAAGGCACACACUUGACCUUUUCUACUAUUAUCUCUGACCCUGAUAAUGCACUUUUAAGGCUGCUA